UCUUAUGGAUGAGCAAAGAAAGUGGUUUCUUGAAAUGAAAUCUAUUCGUGGUGAAGAUGUUGUGAA
rnacentral:pre_miRNA from 1 species